rnacentral:tRNA from 1 species
GGGGUUGUGGCUCAAUGGUAGAGUGCUCACCUAGCAUGUGCGAGGCCCUGAGUUCGAUCCUCCGCACCA